CACGUAGGGGGCAAGCGUUGUCCGGAUUUAUUGGGCGUAAAGAGCUCGUAGGUGGUUCGAUAAGUCGGGUGUGAAACCUCCAGGCUCAACCUGGAGACGCCACCCGAUACUGUCGUGACUAGAGUCCAGUAGGGGAGCGUGGAAUUCCUGGUGUAGCGGUGAAAUGCGCAGAUAUCGGGAGGAACACCAGUGGCGAAGGCGGCACUCUGGGCCGGAACUGACGCUGAGGAGCGAAAGCGUGGGUAGCAAACAGG
rnacentral:rRNA from 1 species